UUGGAGGGCAAGUCUGGUGCCAGCAGCCGCGGUAAUUCCAGCUCCAAUAGCGUAUAUUAAAGUUGUUGCAGUUAAAAAGCUCGUAGUUGAAUUUCGGGGUCAGUAGGUUGGUCAUGCCACUGGUAUGUACUGGUCUCACUGAUUCCUCCUUCCUGAUGAACUGUAAUGCCAUUAAUUUGGUGUUGCAGGGAAUCUGGACUGUUACUUUGAAAAAAUUAGAGUGUUUAAAGCAGGCUAACGCCUGAAUACAUUAGCAUGGAAUAAUGAAAUAGGACGUUCGAUCCUAUUUUGUUGGUUUCUAGGAUUGACGUAAUGAUUAAUAGGGAUGGUUGGGGGCAUUAGUAUUCAAUUGUCAGAGGUGAAAUUCUUGGAUUUAUUGAAGACUAACUACUGCGAAAGCAUUUGCCAAGGAUGUUUUCAUUAAUCAAGAACGAAAGUUAGGGGAUCGAAGACGAUCAGAUACCGUCGUAGUCUUAACCAUAAACUAUGCCGACUAGGGAUCGGAUGAUGUUAAUUUUUUAAUGACUCAUUCGGCGCCUUACGGGAAAC
rnacentral:rRNA from 1 species